CAGGGGAAAAACAAAAGAAAGUGGACAACAAUGGAGGACGAUGAACUAGUCAAUGCACUCUAUGAGCUGUCAUUGGAUCCAUGGUGGAAAGGUGAUAAUGGUUUCAAGAAUGGGUAUUCAUCAAUGCUGGAAAGUAGGUUGGCUGAAAAGGUAUCUGGUUGUGGUCUUAGUGCUACUCCACACAUUGAGUCAAGGGUGAGAUACUUUAGGACCAAAUAUGGAGCAAUUGAAGUUAUGCUUAAAAGAAGUGGGUUUUCUUGGGAUGAGAAUAGGAAAAUGAUCCAGUGUGAGAAGCAAUCGUAG
rnacentral:rRNA from 1 species